rnacentral:rRNA from 1 species
CGAACGCUGGCGGCGUGCUUAACACAUGCAAGUCGAACGGAAAGGCCCUGCUUUUGGGGGGUGCUCGAGUGGCGAACGGGUGAGUAACACGUGAGUAACCUGCCCUUGACUUUGGGAUAACUUCAGGAAACUGGGGCUAAUACCGGAUAGGAGCUCCUGCUGCAUGGUGGGGGUUGGAAAGUUUCGGCGGUUGGGGAUGGACUCGCGGCUUAUCAGCUUGUUGGUGGGGUAGUGGCUUACCAAGACUUUGACGGGUAGCCGGCCUGAGAGGGUGACCGGCCACAUUGGGACUGAGAUACGGCCCAGACUCCUACGGGAGGCAGCAGUGGGGAAUAUUGCACAAUGGGCGGAAGCCUGAUGCAGCAACGCCGCGUGCGGGAUGACGGCCUUCGGGUUGUAAACCGCUUUCGCCUGUGACGAAGCGUGAGUGACGGUAAUGGGUAAAGAAGCACCGGCUAACUACGUG